rnacentral:rRNA from 1 species
CAGUAGCCACGGUAAUACGUAGGUCCCGAGCGUUGUCCGGAUUUAUUGGGCGUAAAGCGAGCGCAGGCGGUUAGAUAAGUCUGAAGUUAAAGGCUGUGGCUUAACCAUAGUACGCUUUGGAAACUGUCUAACUUGAGUGCAGAAGGGGAGAGUGGAAUUCCAUGUGUAGCGGUGAAGUGCGUAGAUAUAUGGAGGAACACCGGUGGCGAAAGCGGCUCUCUGGUCUGUAACUGACGCUGAGGCUCGAAAGCGUGGGGAGCGAACAGGAUUAGAUACCCCAGUAGUCCCUGUCUCUUAUACC